rnacentral:pre_miRNA from 1 species
GGGUGACCGCUGUAGUGCAUUGUAGUUGCAUUGCAUGUUCUGGUAGUAUCUGUGCAAUGUUUCUGCAGUGCAGUAUAGAGGCACUCU